rnacentral:lncRNA from 1 species
CCAGUUCCCCAAAACCACCCCCCGCUUUCGUCUGCUCCGCCACCCUCCAACAUCCCAUCUCUCUCCUCUGCUCUCUCUGCUUCUCGCACCAUGGCGAAUCUACCAGUGAUGCCCUACCAGUUCAUCCCUGGCGUCAUGAACAUCCAGCAGGGGCCAGAAGGAAGGUUGCAUAGGAACAUGAUGGUGGUGGAUGAUCCGCCUCUUGACCAUGCAAGGUUUGCUCUGGUUUUUGUAGUUCCUCCUCCUCCAGAUCUACAAAGGGAAGCUGUUCUUGCUGAGGUUAGGCAGGUUUUGAGAGAUGAUCAUGAUGCGAGCACCACUGAGGGAGAGAUUUAUCCUUUCUGUGUCGGUUUGGUUUGUUUUGAGUAUAGAAUCAUCAGAGAUGCUAUGGUAGAUUUGGGGGAACAAGCCUUGGAUGAGAAUUCUAAUUUUUAUUUGCUGCAUCAUGAUGAUGGACCAAACAUGAGGCAUCCUAUAAUUGAGAGAGAUGCAUGGGUAAUGCUGCUAGGAUUCCCGCUCGAUUAUCAAACUGAGCACUACAUCAUGAAGGCGGUUUCUUGCUUCGGUAGAUGCAUGUUUUGGCACCGUCCUGGUCACAAAAAAGCUAGUGUUGGUCAGAGUAUUAAUUAAUGAGCUCAAGUCUUUGCCAUUCAGCUUAGUCAUCAAAAGAUUCACGGAUAUCAGUGGCAUUGGUAAAUCUUGGACUGUACCAGUAUAUGUGCUUAAUGGUAGAAACCCAAGCCUGGGUCUUGAAGGAAAUGAGGAUGCUCCUCCUUCGUUAGGGGCAUCUCCACACCCAUCUCAGUUACCGUUUCUAAAUGGCAUGCAACAAGCUCAGCAUAAUACUUAGGUUUGGCAGAUGGAAAAUGCUGCAAAUGCUUGAGAAGAUUGCACCUCCAUCUCAUGUUCCACAUUGUUAACAUAAAUCUCAGGAAUUUGCCUUGGCUUGACAUGAGACUCUUUCCUUUUGAUGUCAGACAUAGAAGGCGCUUUGAAACCAGCAUUACAGCAUCUUGGAAGCUCAGCACAUAUGUUGAUUCCAUUUGCCAACUCCUAUCAAGACAUUACAACAUCUGGGAAUCAACAUAUGUGGAGUACCUCCUGAAGAACUCUCUGAAGACAACCUGAUGCAGGGGGAGGAGGAGCAGAACCUCGGACAAGUUUAAAGCACUGCUUUUAUUUAUAUUUGCUUGCUGUGGUUGGUUUGUGCUGGCUUAUUUUGUUAGCUUGUUUUAUUCCUUUUAAGAAUGUGUCAUCAGUGCUUUGGAACAUCUUAUGUUGGAACAUCCGUGGCAUUAAUUCAGAACCGAAAUGCUUA